GGGCAAUUAGCUCAGGGGAUAGAGCACAAGCCUCCGAAGCUUGGUGUCGCAGGUUCAAGUCCUGCAUUGCCCA
rnacentral:tRNA from 1 species